UGCUCUCUCCAGGAGGUUGGCCGCCUAUCCUAGAUCUUCCCAUUUUCAAGAGUAUCCCAGGCUCGAUCUGGUUUAGUAUCAAGGUGAUUCUCUUUCUCUUUCUAUAUAUAUGGGUCCGUGCAGCAUUUCCACGAUAUCGUUAUGAUCAAUUAAUGGGACUUGGCCGGAAAGUGUUCUUGCCUCUAUCAUUAGCUCGGGUAGUCUUAGUUUCUGGUGUUUCAGUCACCUUUCAAUGGCUCCCUUAAUUAUGUGCGAGGAAUUUCCCUCGUCGAGUAAUGGGAAGCGGGCUAGUCCCCGAAAAUGCCCGUUCCUUUGUCGUUGGGGCCCAAAAUCUUCC